rnacentral:rRNA from 1 species
AAUUAUACGGCGAAACUGCGAAUGGCUCAUUAAAUCAGUUAUCGUUUAUUUGAUAGUACCUUACUACUUGGAUAACCGUGGUAAUUCUAGAGCUAAUACAUGCUUAAAAUCCCGACUCACGAAGGGAUGUAUUUAUUAGAUUAAAAACCAAUGCCCUUCGGGGCUCUUUGGUGAUUCAUAAUAACUUUUCGAAUCGCAUGGCCUUGCGCCGGCGAUGGUUCAUUCAAAUUUCUGCCCUAUCAACUUUCGAUGGCAGGGUCUUGGCCUGCCAUGGUGACAACGGGUAACGGAGGGUUAGGGCUCGACCCCGGAGAAGGAGCCUGAGAAACGGCUACUACAUCCAAGGAAGGCAGCAGGCGCGCAAAUUACCCAAUCCCGACUCGGGGAGGUAGUGACAAUAAAUACUGAUACAGGGCUCUUUUGGGUCUUGUAAUUGGAAUGAGUACAAUUUAAAUCCCUUAACGAGGAACAAUUGGAGGGCAAGUCUGGUGCCAGCAGCCGCGGUAAUUCCAGCUCCAAUAGCGUAUAUUAAAGUUGUUGCAGUUAAAAAGCUCGUAGUUGAACCUUGGGCCUGGCUGGCCGGUCCGCCUCACCGCGUGCACUGGUUCGGCCGGGCCUUUCCCUCUGGGGAACCGCAUGCCCUUCACUGGGUGUGUCGGGGAACCAGGACUUUUACUGUGAAAAAAUUAGAGUGUUCAAAGCAGGCCUAUGCUCGAAUACAUUAGCAUGGAAUAAUAGAAUAGGACGUGUGGUUCUAUUUUGUUGGUUUCUAGGACCGCCGUAAUGAUUAAUAGGGACAGUCGGGGGGCGUCAGUAUUCAAUUGUCAGAGGUGAAAUUCUUGGAUUUAUUGAAGACUAACUACUGCGAAAGCAUUCGCCAAGGAUGUUUUCAUUAAUCAGGAACGAAAGUUAGGGGAUCGAAGACGAUCAGAUACCGUCGUAGUCUUAACCAUAAACUAUGCCGACUAGGGAUCGGGCGAUGUUAUUAUUUGACUCGCUCGGCACCUUACGAGAAAUCAAAGUCUUUGG